ACCAGAAACUUGUAAACAGCUUUAAGAUUCUAUCCAGAAAACUUGCUACUUCUCCAAUUUUCCCUCCUUGCAAGUCUUUUCAGUGUGAAAACCCCAGAACGAGGUAUUUUGAAACCAUCGUCACAAAUUACAAUGACUGUACACAACUACUUGGGAUGCUCACAAGCAUCCUCAUGUUCAAGACGCAAGAAACAGAAACCAAUCAGCUGGUCUGCUGAUACCACCUCGUAUAGAGUCGCUUUGGAUACUCCGCUUGAUGAGCUUUUUGAAAAGAAUUAAGUACUGGAUGGGAGUAUACAAAAUAAAAGUUUACCAUUAACUAAUGCUAA